GCAGUAGCUCAGUGGUAGAGCAUCUUCUUUACAUGCAAAAGAUCCCAGGUUCAAUCCCUGACAUCUCCA